rnacentral:rRNA from 1 species
GAUCUUGGUUCAGGAUGAACGCUGGCGGCGCGCCUAACACAUGCAAGUCGAACGGUUAAAGCCCCUUCGGGGGUGCAUAAAGUGGCGAACGGCUGAGUAACACGUGGGCAACCUGCCCCCCGCUUCGGGAUAGCCUCGGGAAACCGUGGGUAAUACCGGAUACUCCGCCCACCCCGCAUGGGGAGGGCGGGAAAGCGCAUACGGCGGGGGAUGGGCCCGCGGCCUGUUAGCUCGUUGGCGGGGUAACGGCCCACCAAGGCUAUUAUGGGUAGCCGGGUUGAGAGACCGACCGGCCAGAUUGGGACUGAGACACGGCCCAGACUCCUACGGGAGGCAGCAGUGGGGAAUCUUGCACAAUGGGCGAAAGCCUGAUGCAGCCGACGCCGCGUGCGGGAUGAAGGCCCUCGGGUUGUAAACCGCUUUCAGCAGGGACGAGGCGCAAGUGACGGUACCUGCAGAAGAAGCCCCGGCUAACUACGUGCCAGCAGCCGC